UCUACGGGAGGCUGCAGUGAGGAAUAUUGGUCAAUGGCCGAGAGGCUGAACCAGCCAAGUCGCGUGAGGGAAGACGGCCCUACGGGUUGUAAACCUCUUUUGUCGGGGAGCAAAGCGAGUCACGUGUGACUCAUUGAGAGUACCCGACGAAAAAGCAUCGGCUAACUCCGUGCCAGCAGCCGCGGUAAUACGGAGGAUGCGAGCGUUAUCCGGAUUUAUUGGGUUUAAAGGGUGCGUAGGCGGGCUUUUAAGUCAGCGGUAAAAAUUCGGGGCUCAACCCCGUCCGGCCGUUGAAACUGGGGGCCUUGAGUGGGCGAGAAGAAGGCGGAAUGCGUGGUGUAGCGGUGAAAUGCAUAGAUAUCACGCAGAACCCCGAUUGCGAAGGCAGCCUUCCGGCGCCCGACUGACGCUGAGGCACGAAAGUGCGGGGAUCGAACAGGAUUAGAUACCCUUGUAGUC
rnacentral:rRNA from 1 species